GACUUUGUGGCCGAGUGGUAAGGACACUCGCCUCUCACCCCUAGAGUCCCGUGUUCGAUCCCCGGUCAAGGAGCU